rnacentral:rRNA from 1 species
AUGGUAUGUUGUAAUGAUAUCCACCUUGCUAUGCGCUCAAAAUGCGGUUGUGCCCCAGUCAUGAGUUCAUCACGUGAUUGGGAUAGAAUCGCAUCUUGGGCACGACAGUUGGCCACAAUCGAGCGCCGUGAUGAGACGUCUGCUACAUCCACCGAUGACCUCCAACUCAAGGCGUCCAUGGACGCCAUCAGUGUGUAUCCAUCCGAGCUCGCAGUGCCUAAAGCACCAUUUCCGUCCGUGACCACCGACAAUUCCGUCCCGGAGCUUAGUGUGACUGACAAGGUGCUCGAAGUUGACGACACCAGCAACGCCGCUACGCUGCCCACCACCUGUUCGAUAGGGUGCCCAAGGUGUGACACGCCCGAGGAGUCAGCGCUCACUUUGUCCAUGACACUACCUUCAUCCAUGGUCAUUGGCAACGCCGCUUCCGAGCUUGCUGCACCUGUAUGUGGCCUCUAUCAUAAUACUGACAAAGACGACCCAAUGGUGUCGUGCCUAGUUCCCUGGAGUGCACCUUCACCCUUCACAAUGCCACAUGAAGCCUCACCAAUGCCUCUGCCUUGGCUGUUUCCUGUCCUUGAUGUGGACAACUUGGCACCCACUAGGUGUUCGACAGAGGUACCUAUCAAGAGCGUGUUCUCCAUGGCAUCUCAGUUCACACAAGGCACUGACACUCAAGGCACUAACAGUAGAGUUGAGUUGCAUCCGUUACCAUGGGCAUCCUUUGCAUGCAUUCUGAUGGAAAUUAGUGCAGCUGGAAACACUGGAGAUACUUGUGACAAUUGCUUCAGCUGGUUAUAA